AUGCAAGUCGUACGCACAGCAAUGUGAGUGGCGCAAGGGUGAGUAAUGCGAAGGUAACCAACCCUGAAGUUGGGCAUAGCCGCGGGAAACUGCGGGUAAUUCCCAGCGACGUUGCGAGAUGGCAUCAUUUUGCAACCAAAGGUGUGAUUCCGCUUUAGGACGGGCCUUCGUGGUAUUAGGUAGUUGGUGAGGUAACGGCUCACAAGCCUACGAUGCCUACCGGGUGUGAGAGCAUGACCCGGCACACUGGAACUGAGACACUGUCCAGACACCUACGGGUGGCUGCAGUCGAGAAUCUUCGGCAAUGGGCGAAAGCCUGACCGAGCGACGCCGCGUGAGGGAUUGAAGGCCUUCGGGUUGUAAACCUCUUUCGUAGAGGAGGAAGGGGCUGUGAAGAACAGUCCUUGACCUAUUCUAGGAAGAAGCUUGGGCUAAGUUCGUGCCAGCAGCCGCGGUAAGACGAACCAAGCGAACGUUAUUCGGAAUUACUGGGCUUAAAGCGCGUGUAGGCGGAUUACCACGUUGGUUGUUGAAAUCCCCCGGCUUAACCGGGGAACUGGCACCAAUACGAGUAGUCUGGAGGUGGGUAGGGGAGACUGGAACUUCCGGUGGAGCGGUGAAAUGCGUUGAGAUCGGAAGGAACGCCCGCGGCGAAAGCGAGUCUCUGGACCCAUACUGACGCUGAGACGCGAAAGCCAGGGGAGCAGACGGUAUUAGAUACCCCGGUAG
rnacentral:rRNA from 1 species